rnacentral:misc_RNA from 1 species
UCCGAGUUGACCCCGGCAGUCUCUCACGAGUCCCCACCAUGACGACAGCCAUGCACCACCUGUGCAGGCUCCGAAGAGCACCCGCUUUCACGGGUUUCACCCUGCAUGUCAAGCCCAGGUAAGGUUCUUCGCGUUGCAUCGAAUUAAGCCGCAUGCUCCGCCGCUUGUGCGGGCCCCCGUCAAUUCCUUUGAGUUUUAGCCUUGCGGCCGUACUCCCCAGGCGGGGUGCUUAAUGCGUUAGCUUCGGCACGGACGGGGUUGAUAUCCGCCCACACCUAGCACCCAACGUUUACGGCUAGGACUAC